ensembl:lncRNA
GAAGAUUCCCUUGGAGAAGUGAAAGGCUACCCACUCCAGAAUUCUGGCCCGGAGAAUUCCACAGACUGUAUAGUUCAUGGAGGCCCAAAGAGUUGGCUGAGCGACUUUCACUUUCACUCCAAGUUGGGCUUUUUGGUAUCUUUGUAUCUCAAUGUCCUCAAUUUGCCCCAACUGCGUGUGCAGGCAGUUAUUUUUAAUCACAUACAGUUUCUUUGUAUUUUGUUGCUCCAGGAGGGGUGUAUCCAGGUGCAAGCAUUGCGUCACUGCAGCAAAGGGUCCCAGGUCCCAGCUUGUUUCAAUAGGAUCACAGCCAACUUAAAAGGUGGCCAGUUUUGCCCAUUUUAAUUAAAAGACACUUGCUCCUUGGGAGAAAAGCUAUGGCAAACCUGGACAGCACAUUAAAAAGCAGAGAUAUCGCUUUGCUGACAAAGGUCUGUAUAGUCAAAGCUAUGGUUUUUCCAGUAUUCAUGGAUGGAUGUGAGAAUUAGACCAUAAAGAAGAUUGAGAGCCAAAGAACUGAUGCUUUCAAACUGUGGUGUUGACUCUUGAGAGUUCUUUGGACAAAAAGGAGACCAAACCAGUCAAUCCUAAAGGAAAACAACCCUGAAUAUUCAUUGGAAGGAUUGAUGCUGAAGCUGAAGCUCCAGUAGUCUGGCCACCUGAUGCAAAGAGCCAACUCACUGGGAAAGACCCUGAUGCUGGGAAAGAUUGAGGGCAGGAGGUGAAGGGGGUGACAGAGGAUGAGAUAGUUGGAUGGCAUCAUCGACUCAAUGAAUAUGAGUUUGAGCAAACUCUGGGAGAUGGUGAAGGACAGGGAACCCUGGCAUGCUGCAGUCCAUGGGCUUACAAAGAGUCAGACACAACUGAGUGACUGAACAACAAGAAUGGAUGAAGAAGCUGAAGCUGAAGGAGAUGAUCACUCAGAGUCUAUCUCCCCCCUGAGGCUCCAAACCCAGCCAUCAGCAGGAAAAAAAAUCCUCUGAAUCUCAAGGAAAGAGAAAAAAAUCACUCCAAAAAGCCAAGACCCCCUCUCUGGACACCUUAAGACUGCCUCCUUCGGCGUCUACAGACUUAGAAUGAUGUGUACAGUGACAACUUUGACACUCCUUGGAGGGGAGCGUCCAGCCAGGCCCCACGAGGCACAGGACACGUUGGCUGGUGACCAGAAAGAGAGAAAAGCCAGGAGUCAUAAUGACUAUUGUUCAAAGGUCUACACACCCACUGGCCAUGAC